rnacentral:rRNA from 1 species
ACGAACAAUUGGAAACGACUGCUAAUACCGCAUACGAUCUAAUCUCGGCAUCGAGGAUAGAUGAAAGGUGGCCUCUACAUGUAAGCUAUCACUGAAGGAGGGGGAUUGCGUCUGAUUAGCUAGUUGGAGGGGUAACGGCCCACCAAGGCGAUGAUCAGUAGCCGGUCUGAGAGGAUGAACGGCCACAUUGGGACUGAGACACGGCCCAG